GCUUCUGGCGCGGUGCCUUCCGAGUUCCCUGGAACGGGACGCCACAGAGGGUGAGAGCCCCGUAUGGUCGGACACCAAGCCUGUGUGAAGCUCCUUCGACGAGUCGAGUAGUUUGGGAAUGCUGCUCUAAAUGGGAGGUAAAUCUCUUCUAAAGCUAAAUACCGGCCAGAGACCGAUAGCGCACAAGUAGAGUGAUCGAAAGAUGAAAAGCACCUUGAAAAGGGGGUUAAAUAGUACGUGAAAUUGUUGAAAGGGAAGCACUUAUGACCAGACUUGGGCCGGGCGGCUCAUCAGGGGUUCUCCCCUGUGCACUCCGCCCGGCACAGGCCAGCAUCGGUUCUCGUGGGGGGAUAAGACCGUUAGGAACGUAGCACCCUCCGGGGUGUGUUAUAGCCUGGCGGACGAUACCCUCGUGGGGACCGAGGUUCGCGCUCCGCAAGGAUGCUGGCGUAAUGGUCAUCAGUGACCCGUCUUGAAACACGGACCAAGGAGUCGUCCAUUAGAGCGAGCGUUUGGGUGUAAAACCCGCACGCGUAAUGAAAGUGAACGCAGGUGAGAGCUUCGGCGCAUCAUCGACCGAUCCUGAUGUUCUCGGAAGGAUUUGAGUAAGAGUUUUAACGGACGGACCCGAAAGACAGUGAACUAUGCUUGUAUAGGGUGAAGCCAGAGGAAACUCUGGUGGAGGCUCGCAGCGGUUCUGACGUGCAAAUCGAUCGUCAAAUAUGAGCAUGGGGGCGAAAGACUAAUCGAACUGUCUAGUAGCU
rnacentral:rRNA from 1 species